GAUUUUGCUGUAAAUGUUUAUUUUCCUUUGAAUGCAGAAAAUACUCAUUACUUGUAAAUGUUCUUCAGGGGACUCUCAAAGAAUUAGCCAAAUAAAUUUCCCCUAUGAUGGUCCUGGUUAGAGAGAGGGAAAAACUAGAAAAGCAAUACCAACUAAUCUGUGUCUUUCCUCUCUGUAAGAACACUAUUGUAAGGAGUUCCCUGGUGACUCAGUAGGUUAAGGAUGUGGCAUUGUCACUGCCGUCGCAUGGCUUUGAUCCCUGGCCCAGGAAUUUCUGCAUGCCAUGGGCAUGGCCAAAAAAAAAAAAAAAAAAAAAAAAAGGAAUAACAACACUCUUGUAUCUGGAGAGCUCUGAGGAAGAGGGAAGAGCAAGCACUUUCUCAAAAAAAACAGAGGCAGAGGUAGGGUUUGGGUACCUGGGGAGCCACCAGAUGAAACCAGCCAGACAACAGAUUGCCAGACCCAAUAGCAAGCCUCACACACACACUAUACUGGUUUCUCUCCAAACACAAAAAUAGGCAUGACCAAAUGCAAGAUGCUUUAUGACUUUAAUAUGCAUACUUAUGCUCUCUCAUUUAUAUCCAGGGAUUCUACCAUAAGCAAGCGGUGGAUGUGCAUGUCUCCUUUAUACAGAAUGUAGAGCUGUGCUGUCCGCUACCACAGCAACUCCCACAUGCACCAACUGAGCACUUGAAACGUGGCUGGCCUGAAUUAGAUGUGCUCAUAGGGGAGUUCCAGUAGUGGCUCAGUGGUUAAAGAACCCAACUAGUAUCCAUGAGGAUGUGGGUUCGAUCCCUAGCCUCGCUCAGUGGGCUAAGGAACUGGCAUUGCCAUGAGCUGUGGUGUAGGUUGUAGAUGCAGCUCGGCUCCUGCGUUGCUGUGGCGGUGGUGUAAGCCAGCAGCUGUAGCUCUGAUUCGACUCCUAGCCUGGGAACCUCCAUAUGCCACGGGUGGAGCCCUAAAAAGACAAAAAGACCAAAGGAAAAAAAAAAAAAAAGAUGUGCUUGUAGAUGUAAAUCUGCAGCAAAUUUCAAACAUUUAAUAUAACAAAAAGAAUGUAAAAUUUUUCAACUAUUUUAUGUUGAUUACACAUUGAAAUUAUAUUUUACAUAUACAGUAGUAAAAUACAUUAAUAAAAUUAAUUUCACCUGGUUCUUUUUACUUUUUAAUAUGGCUGCCAGACAAUUUCAAAUACUGUAUGUGGCUCGCAUUUUAUUUUCUGCACUGCACUGAUGAAUAUUUGCUUUAUGUAUUUAGGUGCUCCUAUGUUGGGUGCACAUAUAUUUACAAUUGCUAUAUCUUGUUGCUGGAUUGAUCCUUUCAUCAUUAUGAAAUAUCCUUCUUUGCAUCCUAUUACAGUCUUUGUUUUAUUUUUAUUAUUUUUUUCUUUUUACAGCCACACUAUGACAUUCAGACGUCCCGGGGCCAGGAACUAUGCUAGGAAUAUUGUAACAAAAUAAAGACAAUGGGGCAAAAAGACCAAAAAAAAAAAAAAAAAAAGUUGGAGUUCUCAUCGUGGCGCAGUGGUUAACGAAUCCGACUAGGAACCAUGAGGUUGCGGGUUCGGUCCCUGCCCUUGCUCAGUGGGUCAAGGUUCCGGCGUUGCUGUGAGCUGUGGUGUAGGUCACAGAUGCAGCUUGGAUCUGGCGUUGCUGUGGCUCUGGUGUAGACCGGUGGCUACAGUUCCAAUGAGACCCCUAGCC
rnacentral:lncRNA from 1 species